AACUGACGGCCCCGUGCCCCCGUCCGUCCGGCUCUUCCUCUUUCCCCCUUCGCGCGAACACGCGGGGCGCCACCGGCCCGCGGCCACCAGCGAGCGAGCAACCUACCGCCAGUCCGCUGCUGUGGUACGAGUACGAGCACGGAACAGUGCCGCGGCCAGGGGAGUUCACCUACCCGGCACAGCCUGCCCGUAAAUGCGCGCACAGGCGUGGGUGCGCGGGGCGGUGGCGCGCUUGAUGACGCCAUUCAAUUGCCCCGCGGCCCACGCCUCCUCCUCCCCCUACCACCUGCUCCUCCUCCCCUGCUCCUCUUAUUCCCUCCUCUCUCGCCUCCGACGCCACUUCGCCUCCUCCUCCUCCUCCUCCUCCUCCCGCUCCUCCUCGCCAGCUUACAACACCACACAAAAUACUACUAGUACGUUCAUGGAGGUUGUUCAGGAAGUCCUUAAGCAUGGUUCGACACAAGGUGUCCAUGCAGCCAUCAGAUCUGACCAAAAGAGUUAUAACCUUGUCCAGCUCAUUGCAUCUGCACUGGAUGUCUACAAUAUUCUGCGCAAUAAAAAUGUACCACCGCUCUCCUUCUCUAUGACACAGAAUGGAAGUACAGGUUCAUCUGUCAAAGGAAUAAAUGGAACUGGAUUCCUUGGUGGAGCUCGUAUUGGCAUAGUGGCUAAACCUUCUCCUGAAUUUGUUGCCGGGAUAUUUGGAACCUGGCUUUCUGGUGGAGUUGCAGUGCCUCUAGCACUUAGCUAUCCUGAAGCUGAACUCCUUCAUGUCAUGAAUGACUCGGACAUUUCGCUGAUUUUAAGCACCAAGGAGCAUCAAGACAUCAUGGAGAAUAUCUCUACCAAAUGUUCUGCUCACUGUUCUCUUCUUCCAUCUGUGACAAGUAUACCAGUAAAUAUAGAUUGCCAAGAACCAUCAAGUACUGAAGUGACUUCGUCUAUUUCUAGCUUAAUAGCUGAGAUUGACAGUUCAAAGGAAAUCAGAGGAGAUGAUCCUGCUCUCAUCCUUUACACAAGUGGGACAACUGGUAAACCAAAAGGAGUGGUCCACACUCAUAAGGGGAUAGUCUCUCAGGUUCAAAUUCUGUCAGAGGCAUGGGGAUAUCGAAGUGAAGAUCAAUUUCUGCACUGUCUCCCACUGCACCAUGUUCAUGGCCUGUUCAAUGCUCUAUUUGCACCCCUCUAUUCUGGAUCAGUGGUUGAGUUCAUGCCGAAAUUUAGUGUGAGGGGAAUAUGGCAGAGGUGGCGUGAGUCAUAUCCCAACAAUGGCAGUAAAAAUGAUGAAGCAAUUACAGUAUUUACUGGAGUUCCAACAAUGUACACACGGCUAUUGCAAGGGUAUGAUGGUAUGGAUCCUGAACAACAGUCUGCAUCUUCCUUUGCUGCAAAGCAAUUGAGGCUAAUGAUGUGUGGAUCAUCGGCCCUUCCUUCCCCACUUAUGAAACGGUGGGAGGAAGUGACAGGUCACCGUCUUUUGGAACGAUACGGCAUGACUGAGUUUGUCAUGGCACUGUCUAACCCAUUGCAUGGUGCACGUAAAGAAGGUACAGUUGGCAAACCGCUUCCGUGUGUUGAGGCCAAGAUUAUUAUGGAGGAUGGGGCUGAAACUACAUCUGAAGUUGGCGAGCUUUGUAUUAGAAGUCCAUCCCUUUUUAAGGAAUAUUGGAGAAAACCAGAGGUUACUGCAGAAUCAUUUAUUGAUGGUGGGUUCUUCAAGACUGGUGAUACAGUAACUGUAGACGAUGAAGGAUAUUUCAUAAUUUUAGGGCGCACAAAUGCUGACAUCAUGAAAGUUGGUGGUUAUAAGCUGUCUGCAUUAGAAAUUGAGUCAGUGCUGUUACAGCAUGAAAUUGUCCUGGAAUGUGCUGUUCUCGGCUUACCUGACGAAGCUUAUGGAGAGAUUAUCUGUGCAAUAAUUGUGCCUAAGGAGGACUCAAAGAAAAGAGCUGAACUGGACUCGAAACCAGCACUGACCUUGGAAGCACUGACAAGUUGGUCAAAAGAUAAGCUUGCUCCAUACAAGUGUUCUCUUUUGACUGUUGCGUGAUACUCCCUCCAUCCACAAAAGUUACACAUAUUACCUUGGAAGUACUAUGAAGUUCUCAAUUCAUAUUUUGCGUGCGCAAGGGAUGGUUCCUGACUCAUGUUUUUCUCAACCACUUCUGAUUCCUACGAGGUUGUACUUAUGGGAUUCGCUUCCUCGGAAUGCCAUGGGAAAGGUCAACAAGAAGGAGCUGAAGAAAUUAUUAGGAGCUUAGCUGUGGUUCCAGGAAGGCAGACAUUGUAAUGGUUAGCUAAUAAAUAUUUUUCGCAUUGAUAAUUUUGCUGAAUAACCAAAACCAAAAGGAAGUCACUUCUAGCAAAACACUAGAGAUAUAUUCAUAGAUUUGGUUUUUUAUUUUCCAAAUAAGAGAUUCAUAGAUAUAGUGUUUUCUAAUAAAUGGCCAACUGAGUUGCCGAUA